UGCCAGCUGAAUGUUAAGGUUAGCUUAGCGUUAACAGUCUGAGGACGGCUCACAUGCCGGCGAGUUUGCUCGACUGUUUCCUUUAUACGGUAUAACCGUCAUGUUACGCAAUAGGAAAGCGAUCCAACCGCUGUGGGGUCAGAGGAGCGUAGCAGGCGCUGUGGAGGUGUUUACGUUGUGGACACCGCGAGCUGCUAGCGGCGCAUCGAUCCACUCGACCCGUCCUCGGCCGCUCUCUUUUUCCCUCUCGCUCACUUUCUCACAGACGCUUGUUGACAUGCCGGUUUUCUCUGUAACACAGGCGUCGUUUCGGUUCUGUUGCCUUAUUGUAUUUAACGGUGACAUUGUUGAGCUGAGUCGUUGAGCUAAACGUUUUCUUGUUUUCUAUUUCUCCAGAUCCUCGUGGUGUGAGGAUGCUGUGGAAGUGGAAGUAUUGUGUUCGUGGAGUUCAGCAAGAACCAAAAGCAGGAAUUCUACGAGAGAAUCGAUCGGCUCGGUCCUCGUCUCCUCGAGUUAUUUCCAUCCAAGAGAGACUACAGAGCCAACUG